rnacentral:miRNA from 1 species
ACAAUUUUGAUCUCUUGGAUUACAUGGGUCUAAGAGAUUUGUAGUCACUCACCGUUGGAUAUAAAUUUAACGGUUCACUCACUCUUGCACUCCUUUUAAAAAACUUUUUUGAACCAUUAAAUUUACAUCUAAUGGUGGGUGACCACAAAUUUCUUGGACUUCUGUGGUCAAAGAGAUCGGGACUGU